rnacentral:rRNA from 1 species
AUUGAACGCUGGCGGCAGGCUUAACACAUGCAAGUCGAGCGGGGUGAUGGUGCUUGCACUAUCACUUAGCGGCGGACGGGUGAGUAAUGCUUAGGAAUCUGCCUAUUAGUGGGGGACAACAUCUCGAAAGGGAUGCUAAUACCGCAUACGUCCUACGUGAGAAAGCAGGGGAUCACUUGUGACCUUGCGCUAAUAGAUGAGCCCAAGUCGGAUUAGCUAGUUGGUGGGGUAAAGGCCUACCAAGGCCACGAUCUGUAGCGGGUCUGAGAGGAUGAUCCGCCAAACUGGGACUGAGACACGGCCCAGACUCCUACGGGAGGCAGCAGUGGGGAAUAUUGGACAAUGGGGGGAACCCUGAUCCAGCCAUGCCGCGUGUGUGAAGAAGGCCUUAUGGUUGUAAAGCACUUUAAGCGAGGAGGAGGCUCUUUUGGUUAAUACCCAAGAUGAGUGGACGUUACUCGCAGAAUAAGCACCGGCUAACUCUGUGCCAGCCGCCGCCGUAA